UACGAAGGGUGCAAGCGUUACUCGGAAUUACUGGGCGUAAAGCGUGCGUAGGUGGUUCGUUAAGUCUGAUGUGAAAGCCCUUGGCUUAACUGAGGAAGUGCAUCCGAAACUGGCAGGCUAGAGUACUAAAGAGGGUCGCGGAAUUCCCGGUGUAGAGGUGAAAUUCGUAGAUAUCGGGAGGAACACCGGUGGCGAAGGCGGCGACCUGGGUAGAUACUGACGCUGAGGUGCGAAAGCGUGGGGAGCAACAGGAUUA
rnacentral:rRNA from 1 species